rnacentral:lncRNA from 1 species
UUAUUUAUAGGUUUCACCUAAAUAACAAUGAAGAUGAUAUUUACGUUCUGUCAUUUUCAGCAGCGUUCACAUACUCUCACCUAACACAUCAUCUAAUACAACUUGAUGAAUCUUUUUUUUUUUUUUUUUUUGUCAUGUGACUAAAAUAUUUAUAUACGUUUUGACGGCAAAAGCAAAGCUCUCGGCUAAUUUUCCUUUUACUCUCAUUAUAUAUUAAUUUACUUUGUGUUGUUAUAAUGACUCAAAACAACAUUAAUUAAUACAAACCCUUGAACUACAAAAGUACAAAAUGAAUCGUCCAGAAUGAUUUUUGAGCACUGAGUAUACGUCAAAACCAUACUAUAGUUAACCUAAAAUCAACCAUUCUAUAGACUAAAGAAAUGUGAGUUUACUACUUUAAAAACUCACAUUUCAUUUGGUCCAUGAUCUAUCUAUUUAUAUAUUGUCAAUAUUUUAUCGUUGACGGCAAUACGAUGAUGGAGCCAUGGAGGUCGACAGAAUAUAAUAAGAGUUAAAAGAAAAAAGAAUAGUUGAAAAUGAAUACAUUACUGGACCAAUUUAUCAUUUUUAUGACUAAUACUAAUAGACUAAUACCACGACCUACCACGUAUCGCACGUGUUACUCAAAAUCAGCAGAUGCUUACACGUAUCGGAUUAUUUGCUAGACUGUCACAAGAUCAGAUCAUUCACUUUCCUUUAAGCGAAAGUAUUGCCUUUUUAAAAAGAUUGAAUUUUACAAAAUUAUUGCUUCGCUUCGCUCAAUCUCAUUAUAGCAAGUUUAGCAAUUGAAUCGUGAUGUGAAUGAUUAGGUCAAUGUUCAAUGUACAGUGUCUGGCUGUCGUGACUAAACAAUAGAAGUGAAAAUUAACUAGUUUUGUUACCGUUAAUUUAAAAUAUAAUUAGAUGAUGAUCAUUGAUCCAUGUUGUUAUACACCGAUGCAUGGAUGCUUUUGAAAAUUUUGUAUUAUUUGCCUUAUUUGUUUAUGGAUAAUUUAUAAGUACUUAUAUUUUUGGAGAUGAAAUUUUAAAACACAUCAUUAUUUUGUUUUAAUGUAUUAUUUUAUUUUUUACUCUAAAAUAUAAAUAUUAUAAAAAUAGAGUAAAGAAUAAAAUUAUUCUAAAUAUAAAAAUAACUUUAUAAUUUACUCUAUUUUAGAAUAAAAAAUAUAUAUAUAUAUAUAUAGUAGAAUUGGAACAAAUGUUAUUAUUAUUAUUAUUAUUUGGUUAAAUGGAACAAAUGUUAUUUUAAAAUAAAUUUUUUACUCUAAAAUACAGUGGAAUUAAAGAUACUCUUAACUUUGAACGUUGUUGUUUUCAGCUAUAGUUAAUCAUAGAAUAAUCAAUCCACGAUUUUAUAGAACUCGCUUUUACUUUUCUUUAUAAUAAUUGAGCUUGUGGACCGAUCAAGGAUAAAAUUUAUUUCGGCCGGACCACGCUGCGUACAGUCAAAAGUUAGAAACUAGUAACAAAUCAUUCAUAGCAAAAUGGGCUUAAAAUAAAGAAAGAUUGAAAAGGACCUCUCUAUAUAUAUAUACGUUGUUCGAUCGUCAAUCCAUUUUGGCAGUUCACAUUCUCAUAUCACGUGGCAUGCCCAUCCUACUGUCUUGUACCUUGAAACUUAUAAACUGUCUAAGACUUGCAUACUAAUUAAUCAUCCUAGAGAAACAGCGUAUGCAGCACCAUUAUUCGAAUAUAUGAAUUCAUCAAUUGAUGUAUUAAAAAAAUAACAAGUUUAGAUCGAUCCAAAGAAACACUUUUGCUGUGUUAAACUUAUGUUUAUCACUUAAAGCAUACAUAUUUUGUUCAUUAUGUAAAUCUCCGUUACGGCGUUACAUACAAUAUUGAAUAUGUUUGGGCAAGAACUAUUUAUUAGUAUAACAUUGCAGCCUACACUACUUUAAACAUCAGAAGAUUACGGAAUUUUAUAGUCGUAAAACAUCAACUCGACGGUUUAUUGAAACAGACAAUAUGUAGAAGUGAACGUGAAAAGCACGUAAGAGAACGUUGAUCAAUGAGUAUAGUUAUAUAUAUUAUAUAUGUUCGACGCAAAGCAUGACGUUUUCUGCAUGAGCUGCCACGCAAGGUGACGUUGUUUUGAAUCAAUGGUUCUGAUGCCAAUACGCGGUUCGGUUUUCUAAAUCACGUACUACUGCGUAAUUAUAUAGUCAUGUAAUAACUAACACUCGAUUAGGGCUAGUAGUCAUCUAACUUUAAAAUUUUUAUGGUCCGAUUAAUAAUUAAAUAAUGGAAAGUGGAUAAAAUAAUACAGUCAAUUUAUUCCACUAGUAAGAUUGGUCUAUAAAAAUCUUGAGAUGGGGUCAAACAGAGUAAUGUACAGUGCAUGUAGUGCCCAAAACAGCAAACCUUUUUUCUGCGUGGAUCUCAUGUCGGAACGGAAGAUAUGUUAUAAAUAUAAAUAUCAUUGGCUGAAUAUAGAUAAAAUUCUCACAUAUACAUUAUGUUUAUUUGUUGUAGAUACAAUGUUAAGCAAAAAAAAAAAAAAUGUUACGUUUAAGCGUACGUAGUAUACUAUCUCUCUCGUCCGGGAGCUCCAGAUCGAGGAGCCUUGUUAAUUCGGAGAUAGAUAAGGAUCUUGAUCGUAUGAUCACUUACCCCUUUUUUGACUCUCUCAAAGUAUCAACUGUUGCGUUUACUUUCAUCUCCCUUUUGUAAUCAGACCUUAGAGAUCCUAUAAAUUUUGGAAUAUGUUUACCAGUUAAAUUUUAAACAAACAAGAGAGAGCUACAAAUCAAACAUUAUAUAAAAGGAAAUUAUUGUAAAAGGACAUUAUUAUUUUUAAACCAAACAAAAAAAAAAAGAAAAUUAUUUAUUUAGAUUUUCAGUAUCUAUUCUUUUCGGGAGAUAAGAAAAAUAUACAUUAGAAAUUUAGAUGUGUCUUGAGACUUGAAUCUCGAACACGUUUGGUUGAACGUAACUAAAACACACUAAGAAAAUAAUGUGACUUGCUUAAUUAAUAUAUUACCGAAUGGUCUAUCGUUACUAAAACCGUAAAAUGAAAUCUUAAGCGUGGGAUUUCUCGAAGUCAAAGUUUCUGAAAAUAGAAAGAAAAAUCAAAUUUGCUUACAUGCCGAACUAUAUAGAUAAAGAUUGCUUAAUCAUGCCGACCAUCCCCUGUCCUUUUUUUCUCCAAUAUUAUUUUAAAACUCUGUGAAUAUCCUUCACGUCAAAGGGCCCCAAUUCAGAGAAUACGAUAAAACUAAUAAGUCUACAACUACGGAAUUAUAUAAUUCUAAGAAGAUAAGUGUUCAUUCAUAUUGGCUGGGAAAACAGCAAAAAAAAGUAUUACAUAUUAUUACUGACAAAAAAAUAUAGAGAUCAUAUAUGAAUAUAUUUAUCAUUCGGGAAAAAUAUAUACCAAAAAAAUGUAAUGGUCAUUAGUAACUAUUAGUACUUAUAUGAGUACAACAUUGAGCUCAUCAAAAUUAAGGUGAAGAUAACCAAUGCUACAAGUCUGUAAAUUACGUAUAAAAUAUUUGUUUAUUUCUGAUAAAUUACUUAAAUUGUUAAUUGUCAAAAUCAUUAACAUAUGUGUAACAUGUAACUUUGUAUAAACCUGGUUAAGUUUAUUUAUUUUUCUUAAGUUUUAAUAACUUGAAUAAUUAAUACUAUCUUUUGUAUAAAAUGUAUCUAGAAUUGAUUGACGUACUGUUUGCUUGUUGAAACGAUAAUCACCGAUCAACUUAAGGUUUGAGGUAAAAUCUUAGCUUAUUUUAUUUCAUAGUAUUCGUAUCCUCCAAUUUAUAUGCACAAAAAUUAUAAAAAAGAUAAGAACUAUAAGCAAAGCCUAAUAUUUAUUAGUUUGGUGAGAGAAGGUUUUGAGUCAUCGUUACAAAUUUCGAAAUCUUGUUUUGAAACAAGCUAGUAUCGGUCCAAAUACGAAAUUCUGUGUCGAACACAUAUAGGUUAUUAUUUUUUCUAUAUUAACAUAAAGAUAAUAAUCCGUAUAAGAAAACAGAUAAAUUUCAUACAAAUUUUUGGGGUUAACUCAAUGAAAAAUGUUUUUAAAAUAAAGAUUCCCCGACAUAAAAAUACAUAAAUUACGAUUCUCAGCCUAAUUAAUUAUACAUAUUAUUAGCUGGUUUCUUGUCAGCCUAAUUUUAUUUCAUACGAAACAUAUAUCUCCAUCACCAAGGAAGAAAUAAUAAUAAUAAUAUAACAAAUUAUCAAUAUUAAUUAAAAUAAAUAAACCCAUACCGUAACUCGAUUUUAUUAUGUGGAUGUAAUGUCUCCACGUGGCAGAUAAUAAUUCGAUAAACAUAGUGAGCCUUCUCUGUCCGACUGGGCAUGACAGAUCAUCUUAAGCAAAUCAAAUACCCAACUCUCACACAUUCUCACACUUUAGUUUUCCCCAAAUAAACCAAACUUCAAAGAGAGAGAGAGAGACAGAGAGAAAGUUUUGUGAAUUCAACCAAAGAGUUAGUUAAUGGGAUUCGGCUUAGAGAGCAUCAAGUCAAUCUCCGGCGGGUGGGGCGCGGCGGCGCGUUCCUGUGACGCUUGUAAGUCAGUUACCGCCGCCGUGUUCUGCCGUGUUGACUCUGCUUUCUUAUGCAUAACAUGCGACACAAGGAUCCACUCCUUCACCCGCCACGAGCGCGUGUGGGUUUGUGAAGUCUGUGAACAAGCUCCCGCCGCCGUCACUUGCAAAGCCGACGCCGCCGCUCUCUGCGUCACCUGUGAUUCCGAUAUCCACUCAGCUAACCCGCUCGCUAGCCGUCACGAGCGUGUCCCUGUCGAGUCUUUCUUCGACUCAGCCGAAACCGCCGUCGCUAAAAUCUCUGCUUCCUCCACUUUUGGUAUCCUCGGCUCAUCAGCCACCGUGGACUUAACCGCUGUUCCGGUCAUGGCUGAUGAUCUCGGUUUAUGUCCGUGGCUGCUUCCUAACGACUUCAACGAACCGGCUAAGAUCGAAAUCGGAACUGAGAACAUGAAAAGUUCCGACUUUAUGUUUUCCGAUUUCGACCGUCUCAUUGAUUUCGAGUUCCCGAACUCGUUGAGUCAUCAUCAUCAACCGUCCGGGGGAGAUAGUCUUGUUCCUGUUCAGACCAAAACAGAGCCGCUUCCGUUAACUAACAAUGAUCAUUGCUUCGAUAUAGAUUUCUGCAGAUCAAAGCUCUCUGCUUUCACUUACUCAACUCAAUCAUUGAGCCAUAGUGUAAUCUCACCAUCCUUCAAAAAUCCAAACUUUAAAUCUUUAAAUUUGUUUAAACUCGAUAAAAGUUUUGACUUUUAAGUUCUGUUUAUUUCUCAGGUUUCGACUUCGUCACUCGAAUACGGUGUAGUCCCUGACGGAAACACCAACAACUGUGUUCCUGAGAUCCCGAUUCCGUUUAACCGGAGCGGGAUCACUAGCUCGACGGCGGCGACUACUGGUGGUGAUCAAACGAACUCUAUGGAUAGGGAAGCUAGGGUUUUGAGGUACAGAGAGAAGAGAAAGAACAGGAAAUUCGAGAAGACGAUUCGUUACGCUUCGAGGAAAGCUUAUGCAGAGUCACGGCCAAGGAUCAAAGGCCGAUUCGCGAAAAGAACUGAGACGGAAAACGACGACGUUUUCCUAAGUCAUGUUUAUGCUUCAGCCGCCCAGUACGGUGUCGUACCAACGUUCUGAUCCAAGUCUACGGUGGAAUCAAACGAAUCAACCUGAAAAACUCCCAUCUUCCACCGUUUGAUCACCCUGGGUGUAUAAUAAGUAUAGUGAGUCUUACCGUAGACAAGCAAUCUUAUCUCCUCUUUACCCGUUUACCUUUUUUACGCGCUAUCUCACUGCCACUUUAAGGCUGUAACUUUUUUUUUUCUUUCUAUAUAUAUAAUGUAUGCUUAUUUUUUCUUCAAAAAAUCAUAUAAUUUGGUAAUUAUAAUUUCUAAUGGCUGAUGUUGUCUUGUCGCUAAUUUUGUUGAAAGAGAUUAGGUUGAGUUUGGCUUGUUAAUCGUUUACGUGGCAUACAAAUUAUAAAGAAACAAAUAAAAUAUGAAAUUUAAAAAUCGAGUAUUAUGGGAGAUUAUAUAUUAGGUCACACUACAACUUGUACAAGUGUUUUUGAUUAUCUAAUAGAUGUAUUUUUGUGUCCCAUGCACGAGAAGCAACUUGUAGUAUUACUGAAAAAGUUUUUAGAUUCGUGAAGACAGUUUAUGAUCGAUCCAAAAUAUCUGGAACUUUCGGACAGUAAGUAAAAACACAGUUGCUUUUUACGAAAAUCGAUCGCAGCAAAAGAAGCAAUAAAUGGUUUUUGUCCGAGACUUCAUAAAACUUUGCCUUUUGGGUUUCUGUAGAGCCAAUCUUUUUUAUCUUCGAUCUCUCUCACCUUUCUACAAAGAAGAACGUGAUUAUUUAGUGUCAGAUAAAGUCAAAGUCAGUUUGAACUGUGAUAUCUUGUCGUUUUUGAUCGGUGGUUUUUUCAUGGUAUCAUUAUCUCGUAUUAUCCCAUCAUUAUGAAAUAUUGAUUCUAAUAAUUAUGCCUAUUGCCCAUUUAGACAAUCUCGGACCUAAGUUUAAGCUUCAUUAAUGUAUGGAGGCUAAAGAUAGAUAGUAUUUUCUUUUCAUCAAAGAUGCUUACAUAAUUACAUUGAUCUACCAAUAAUUAUAAAUCCAAUAUCAUAGUACGAAAAUUUGAACCUUAUAUUAUCACUUUAUAUUUUAAGAGUACAUAUUGCUAUCAACCACUAACUAGUAUAUACAUACACCUUGGUUGUUAGGUAAUUGACACGGAUAAAAUACGUACAUCAGUACAAGUUUGUGGUUAAUUCUUUUGUUGAAGUCAUCUACUUGUAAGUUUACCUUAGGUUACAUUGUUGUUUCUUUUGCAACCUGUUAACUAGUCUAAGACAUGUAUGCGUAUUAUAUGAUCAAGUAUGUUAACAAAAAUAUCAGUUUGCAACGUAUAUACAUAAUUCUUCUAAACUCAUGCACUCUCUUUGAAUUCCAUACGAGCUCUUUAAUAUUGUAAGGACCUAGCUACUUUCUUAUGAAAUGUAUAUAAAGUAUUUAUAAAUGAAACCCAUGAUCAAUACCUUGGGAUUGCGAUGUAGUUGAGUGAGACUUCUGCCGUCCAAGUGGGUUUAGAGACCUUGAUGCAUGCAAGGGGCAGUUUAGGCACGAUAUUUUGUUUGGAGGCAAACAGAGCAAGCUUGAGAUUUGCAAAUAGUGGCUACGAGUGCUUUGGGGCCACAUAAUAUACAAUCAUAAUAACGUUAAUAAUAGCGCAUUAAAGCAAAGUUUUGACAAUACAUAGAACUAAAGUUUGAUUUACUAAACAAAGGAAAAAAAAAACAAAGAAUUAAAAGUUUGAUGUUGAGUGUCACGAAUAAAUUGGUUUAGUGUGGUGGAUUUCCCCCAAUUAACAUCGGAUUAAGCUCGUUUGGUAAAUUCCACCAAACUCAUUGUCUAUUAUGAAUUAAUCAUAUGAUUAAUAGUCUCUUUUUAUUUCCUAAUUAUAUUUUAUGAACGUAUUUCCAAGUUUGCAUGAUAACGCGUAUAACCCGUGUGUGAAUGUAAAUAUUCCAUUGGACUUAUAUACUGAAAUCGAGACAAGUGAGAAAGAACACCGCAUGCAUGACUAUUACACAAGGGGUGACAUGACAUUUACAGACAUGACAUUUACAUAACAAAACACGUAGUAUAUUUCAUAAUCUUUUUAAGAACAUAACAAAACCUUGGAUAUGAACUUGUAAUGGUGUGACCAAUUUUAUUUUUGGUAAUGGUGAUUAGUGACACAAAACUCGACUAUAUGGCAAAAUAUGCUUAUAGUACUACUUUAUAGUCAUGACUCGUGAGGUUUUGGAAACCUUUUUUUUGUUUGUCAAACCAAGCAAUCUUAAAACCGUGUACACACUCCCACAAAAAGAGGUAACAAAGAUGCACAGUGUCACAUUAAAAGGGGAAAAGAACUUGUUAACAGUUGAACCAAUAAAUAGGGAAAGAAAGAAAGAAGAAGAGAUUAUUUAUUGGCUCCAUGAAAGAGGGACCUGCGUGGCCCAAAGUGGGUCCGACAGAGACUGGGUCGAACAGGAGACAAGUGGAGGGUCCGACCACACCCUAACCACGUGCAUCGCCGGCCCAAAUGGCUGUUCUCUUCUCGUGGUCCACUUCUGCACCCUUAAUCCCUAUCCUAACAGUUCCUGCCACCUUCCACUAGAUUUAUCAUAUAGUACUGCAUAACAAAACAAUAAUACUAACAUAUUGAACAUCAUGGCUCAAUUGUUUUUACAUUGUCUAGCUGAAUAUUUGUUUUGAUGCUGUUUACUUUAGUUUUUGCUAAGUGAAGUUGUUUAGCUUCAAGCCUUUCAACGCUAAAAGAUUUGUAUUAAUCUCAGUUUUGAUCUAUGGAUAUUUCCUUUAUUUGUUAUGUGAUUACGAAAUUUCCCAAGACAAAACUGUCACCAUUUAGAUCCCAUACUAUUGCUUUCUUCACUUUUUAUUGGAUUAUAUGCUAUUACAAAUUCCACACUAAAAAAAAAAAGAAAAACUGUCACCAUUUAGAUCCAUACUAUUGCUUUCUUUUCUUAUAUUGAAUUAAAGUUCUACUGCUUUUUUUUUUUUCUUUCUUUCUUUCUAUGGAUUAACGAUUACGACAAAUUCAUGCAUCUUAUUCGAUACACACACAUAUAUAACAUAUGCGAUACAACGAUAUAUAUUUUGUAACUUAAUCUAGAAGAAAGAUGUUGAGGUUCGUUUUGGCUAACUCUGUUGAUUGAGUUUACCAAGUACUCUUAAUUUGGAACCGUUACUCUACGAGAAAUAGUAUAUGCUUUAGUUUUGUCUCGUAUACAGAUUAUGUACUUUGUAUCUUUAAACGGAUAACAGAGUAAAACGGUCUUUAAUUUGGUUAAACUAUGAUAUAAAGUAACUUAUUUCUAUUAGUUGUGAGUUUGAUACAUAAUGGAUGAAACGUUAAAGAUCUCAUAAGAUACAAAAGAAUGAAAUUAGAUAUAAACAAAAAAAAUCAAAAGGAAGAGUCCAAAGGAACAUCAUCUCCGAAAAUCAUAGAAUACUCAUCCCAUUCAUCGUUAUCAUCAUCGUCAUUAGUCAUAUCCUUAGGCAUACUCCAGCUCUUUGCAAUGUCAGCCUCGUUCCCAUUCGUUAGCAACUCCAAUACCUUAAUUAGUUACAAAAAGCAAAAUUUCACAAAAUCAAAUACUCCACUUGAAUUCGGUAAUUAGACAUCAUGGUUCUAAUUCUUAAGAUUGUUAUCGCAUAUGUAACCAAAUAACCUGAGUCAUGGUUGGUCGUAAUAUCGGCGAUUGUUGAACACAAUGCGAAGCUGUAAGGACAAGCCUGUUCAUUUGCUGAUCAUCGUACUUAUCUUGUAAUUUUGGAUCAACCAAGUCUCUUGUGUUACCUGACUCCAUCGCUGGUUUCGCCUGUUCAUUAACGAUCAAUGUUAGGAAUGAUAUAUAUAGAAUUUAAAGUAACGUAUAUAACAAAUACGAGCGAACCUACUAGAUGGCUUUCGUGUCUAAAAAGACAUACAAUUAGGUCUGACUAUUCUAGAAUUUAUAUACCCAUAAGAGAAUGUGUGUUUGAGAGGGAUGAACCGGUCUUCGUCCGGUUAUGAUCUCUAGAAGGAGAAUACCAAACGCGUAGAUGUCGGUUUUCUCGUCUACGGUUCCUUGCAUUAAGGACUCUGGUGCUAGAUAACCGAACGUUCCUUCAACCGGUACAACCGCAUGGUGAGUCCAUUUGUUAGGCAACCAUCUCGCCAAUCCAAAAUCAGUAAUCUGCGGUUCGUAGUCAGGUCCAAGUAAGACAUUGGACGAUUUGAUAUCACGGUGAAUGAUCCGGUGGCUGCAGCGUUUGUGAAGAUAAUGAAGCCCUCGUGCUACUCCAACCGCGAUUUUGUACCGUAUAGGCCAAUCUAGCGAUCCGUGUUCCUUCUCUGUUUUGAAUUAUUGGCAGCAUAAAUUGCAAAAUCAGUCCACAGUUGAAAGUACUAAAGAGUGUUUUGAGAAAGUAAUCUGAAAGUUAGUUUACCGUGCAAUGCAGAGUACAGGGUUCCAUUCUCGGAGAACCUGAAGACAAGAUAGAGACCUCUCUCAACACAACAGCCUAAGAGCAGAGCAGUGUUGGGAUGAGAUACAUGACUGAUGAUGCCGAGUUCUGUAAGAAACUCUUUCUCCUUGUUCAUGUCACCACUCUCCUUGGUUAAUCUCUUCACUGCUAUUCUUCUUCCGUCCCAUAAAUCUCCUCUGUACACUUCAGAGUACCCUCCUAUGCCUACUAUGUUCUCUGCAAUUCAACCAAAAACUUGGAUCAGAUUUUUUUUUUUUAUAAGAACCUUAAGUUUCAAUCUUUUUGUCUCAAGUUGUUACAUUUUAUCCAAAGUUUUGGAAUUUUGGUCUCUAAUAAUGUUUCAAGGUUUCACCUUGAUGAAAAUCAUUUGUGGCUUUAGAGAUCUCGUUGUAAGUGAAGCAUUGCAUUAAAGGUUGAGGUUUAGGGUUGGUCUUAGUCUCGCUUCCUCUCCAUUUUCUCAGAGGAGAGUUCAUGAUAAGAGAAGAUAUGAAUCUGUAGGGAGACAUUGGCUUAUGUUUUGGUUUCUCUGAAGGCGAAGUGAAAGUAGAAGAGACCAUUGAACCGUUGAAACUUGAAGCAUCAUCGCCGGAAGAGCUAAGUGAAUCUCUUGAUAAAGCGUUUAGUACACUGCGUGGUGAAUACUUCUCACUCUUUAUGUCUAGAGAAAAAAAACAUACAAUAUGUUACUCUUCGUUGAAUCAGCUAACCAAAUUUUUAAUUUUAGGACCAACCUUAAAUGGAAUUUAUUUUAUCAUAUUAACAUGAUCAAACCUCGAGAAAUCGCGGAUUCGGAGGAACAAUCUUUAUGCGGUUUUCUUUGAUUUCCGACUAAAACAACAGUGCAACUUGAUGGAGCAAAGUCGGAGACAUACCUUGUGAUGUCAUUCCAUAUCCUAAAUGAAGAGAAAUAUUAAUAACAAAUCGAAUUAUAUUCUGAACCGGAUAAUAUUUUGUAAUCUGAACCGGUGAAUUUCCGGUUUAUUACCUGAAUUCGUGAGAGGUUGGUCGGGAAAGAACAAGAUAGUGCGCAGAAAUAGACUUGACUUCAUCUAUGAGUCCUCUUCCGAUGUUUGAGCUAAACCCUACCUUGGCUUCCAAGUUCACCUAUUAAGUUGGGAAACUAAAUUAGAAUAUAACAAUUUGGUUGUGAGACCAAUGAUUGAAUGGAUUCAUUACGUUUUAUCUCAGUUGAAGCUCUACAAUUUCCGGCUAAGUUCGGUUUCAAAAUAGUUAUGCGUCAGUUUUUUCCAAGUAAGAAAGUAGUAAUACCUGGUUGUGGCAGCAAGUGUAAGCAAACUCUCCAAGCAUGGAGAUAACAUGAGCUUUAGCACGCCGAAUCUGAGUUCUCUUCUUCUUCUUCAUCGGAAACUUUCUCGGCUCUUCACCAGCUGCAUUCAACAAAAAAUGUAUAUAGUUUCCCAAUUAGUCAAAUGAUCAAAUGCCGAAGAGAAAAAAAAAACAGAGAGAUUUAGGUAUAUAAGUUUUAACCAAGAAGAUGAAGAGCAACAAUGGUGUCACUCGGUUUAGCAAGAACAUUGAUGGCCCAAGAUAGAACAUUUUGGCUUUCGUCUCGGUCCAACGAGAUCGCCACGAGGAUCUUGUUACUACUGCCUUCUUCUGAAAGAGAUAUCAUAUGUAUUUCGGUUUUGUUUUCACUCUAAUAAACAAGGUCGGAAAUUUUGAGAACACAAUGAUUUUAUACAAUUAAAGAAGAAGAUACGUGUUUUUGUUUUGGGAUGAUGAGUAAGAAGAAGAAGAGAGACGUUUCGAGACUAAUAAAGAGUGUGGAAAAGGGAUGAUCAUUGCAUGAGAUAAUCAUUAGCUGUGUGUAUGAGUCUUGACGAAGAAGCAUAAAACCACAAUACGCUCAAUGGCAUUAUAAUUAAGUUAUCUUCAUUUUUUUUUUGCCUAGUGUUACUCAAGAAUCAAAAGAUAAAGUUAAUUAGAGUUAAGAGUCUUCUUUGUCAAACAAGAGUUAAAUAGUUAUAAAUCAAAGUUUUAAGUGGUUCAUACUCUGAUUUAAUGAUCUAACUCCAGAGUCAUCGAUGUGUUUACCAUAAUUAUGAGGAGUUAGUUUUUUUCUUUUCAAAUUAGUCAAAAUUUUUUUUAUCAAAAAUAUAUUUAGUGAAAAUAUUGAAAGAUAAGUCAAAACAUUAGAAACGUUCAACUAAUUUGAUAUAACUUCUUAAUAGUUAGAACAAUCAAUUAAUAAGAUGUUCAUUUUAUAAUCUAUUGUAUGAUCAGUUUGUCACCGAGUUUAUGACAAAAAUUAUAAGUUUUUGCUCACUAUUAGCAACUAAACCUAGCGAUCGAUAGUUCGUUGAGUAUCAAUAAGACAUACACACACAAAAACUGUUGUAUUGGAGAAACCGAAUGCUAAUCUAAAGCUAAGCAAAACACAUGCAUAAAAUAUUUUCAUAUAUAAAAAAAGGGAGUUAUUGGAGACAAUGAUGAGAUUUGAAGUGAAUGUGUGGUUGGGUGAUUUCUGGUCUAAGCAAAGGCCACACCCAGGGACAAAAGGAUGUGUUCUUGUUGUUGUUGUUGUUGUUGUUGUUGUUUCUAAGUGGUCUCAUCUCAUGUCCUUGAUUUUGUCUUCCUCUCAAAGCCAUUGUUGCUCUUUGGCCUCUCUACUUUCUCAUUGUUAUCUCUUAUUUAUCAAUCAUAUAUAAAAUGAUUAAAUGGUAGUUUAGGAUAUCAAUCAUUUCAAACAUAAGCAGCAAAAAAGAAAAUAUGAAAAUGGAAAAUUGUUUCCAAAGGGUUGGUAGAGGUGAGUGUGAGCCAUGAAAUGGGCUAUCCAAAAGAGGGAAGAUAUAUAUUUAACUUUUUACAAUGAAUGAGACUUUGAGAAGACAUUAAGUACACAAUAUUAAUAUUAAAAAAUGUUAAUAGUAUAGAAAACCAAAAGUAAUUAAAGGGUAAUAACAGAAAUGGACCAAAAGGUACUAUAUCAACAAACAAGACGUUGAAACAUAUAAUUACAUGUGCAAUUAUGCACCCAAGAUUACUUGGCUUUGUUUGUCUUAUACUACACAACACUAACCUCCGUACACAUAACACACGUGCAUUUGAUAUCUCAAACUCGGGGAUCUUAGUUAAGCCAGCUAUGAAAAUUCAUUUUUUUUAACGAUUAAGGUUUAAAAGCCAUAUAUGUUUAAAAGUUCUUAUGUAUAAAGAAAAUUAUAUUUCUUAUCAUCAUCAUCAUCACCAUGAUUAGCCACUGUAAUUGCCUAAAAUAAUCCUCCCAAUCUUAUAUCACAAGUCUUGAAGAUUAGUCUUUUGAGUUUUGUUUGUUUGGCUAACGGUUCUCUAUUUAAAAUAAAUACAUAUUUCAAUUCUAGUUUAAUCAAGUGUUGGAUCAAUGUUGGCCCAAAAUUUGUGUGAGAGAACAAAGUGAAUAUAAUGACUACAAUGGGCUAAUACUAGCCACCUAGCCUUUUUUUUUCUUGACCCAAUAACCAAAUAGUUACAGGAUCGUUCAAAAACAUUUUAACACCCUAAUCAACAACACCUGGCUCAAGAUGUUUCGUAUCCUCCCUCGUUUCGAGCCGAAUAAUCGCCGACAGCUUUAUUAAAUAGCAUAACUGAUCAAACCAAUCUCUGUAUUGAUUAAACUACGUAUCUUCUUCAUGCAACAACAACAAAAAAAAAAAGAGAGAGAAUAAUCUGACGUUAUCGAAAGAAAUAAGCAAAAACCUCUAUUUGGCAAUAAUCUGACGGUUAAAACUCAAUUGAUCUUUCACAAUUAUGGUUCGUAAUCCAUUUUAAUCAAGUGAUUCGAAAAUGCAGAUGAAUGUAUAUUUAAAGAAAGCAGAGCUAAGUUAUUAGAAAUUAGCAACCUAGCUACUAGUAGCUAGUAGUAGGGCUAGAAGAUAAGAUUGAAAAGGAAACACAAAAAAGAAAACCUAGUGCGGUUAAAAGUCAUUUUCGAAACUAUUUCAAUUUACAAAUUACUAUGCUAAUCAACAUAUAAUUAAGGCAAAUAAUAGGGUCAUUUGAUUGAAGCUAAUCAACUGCUUCACCUCGCCGCAUCAAUUUAAUAGAGACACCUAAUAGAAUUUAAAUCAGACAUUCUUCUGCACGUGCCUUCACACGUUGCCCUUUUGGUGCUCACUUCAAUUUUCUCACCUGAAGACUCUUUCAUCUUCUAUCUUGUUUUUGUUUUCUCUUUGGUUCUUGACACACUUAUCCCAUGAUUAAACAUGUACUGAACCUUACCAUAACAGUACAAUUUAUUUAUCAUAUAGUCCACUAAUUUUUUUGUUGGGUGAAAUUAAAAUAUAAUCAAGAAUUUUUUUUUUAUUCUUAGUCACAAAAAUAUAAUAAUCACAAAUCUCCCAUUCAUAGUCUCAGAAAUUUACAUUUUUUUCCCUCAUCAUGACCUAGAAAUGGAACAAAACUGGUGAGUUAUACAAACUUACAACUACAAAAACAUAACCUAAAACUACGCAAAAGCUGAGAUUAAAAUACACAAUUUUCACUUCCUAAUAAUCCAGUUUUAUACCUUCCUAAGAUGAUUUAGGUCUCUCAUCAUGUAGAGUUCUGACCCGACCCGAGUACCCGACGCAACCGGGUCAGAUGCUACAAAACAGUUCUCUUCAAGAAACUGUUUCACAGUAAGACGAUCGAUCCUCUGUUUUUGUCUCAUCACUUCCCUCUGUUUUUGUUUUUCUCAAUGUGUCGCCGCAACGUUACUUUCGUUACUUCGCCGCACCACCUGAUCACUACCUUUAACGUCAUCAUCUACAUCGUCGUCGUCGCAAGUACAAGUUUUUUCAGCGGGCGUGGCCAAGUAAGUAGGUUUGGCAUCACCGGCCAUAAUCACCAAGAACUUUUCCGGCAAAGCUACAGGCUUCACGGCCGCCUUUUCGGGUUUGACAUCUCCGGCCUCGAGAUCUCUCUGGUCUUCCUCGCCGUCGAGAUAACCGGAGAGACGCCAGUAAGAGCAAGCGAGGAUUAAAAGAGCAAAAGCUAUGAGACCGAGCAUCGCAGCUAAACCACCAAAGAGAUAAGGAACCGGUGAAUGCCACGGUGAGUGAGGUCCUCCCAUGGUGGUGGUUCUGUUCCCGUCGACGACGUUUUCUCUCGGAGGGUAAUAUUGUCUUCCUUCCAUAUUGUUUGUUAAACAAAGAGAGAGAGAGAGAGAAAAGUGUUUUAUGUUUUUGUUUGUGAAUAGAAAAUAUAAAUAUUUGGUGUGAGGAGGAAGAUGAGUGAGGAAGGGUUUUAUAGAAGAGAGUUAUAGCGAAUUAACGUUUGUGGAUUGUGUGUGACGUAUAAAUUUCUCUUUUUUAUUAUAUUUUGCGUAUUGAGUUUUUUUUUAGUAAUUCAUUGAAUAUUUCCAUUAUUUAUUUUUGUAGAGUAACUUUACAAAAAAGGCAAUAUGAAUUCAGUUUUCGUUUAUUCAAUUAUCAUCAAUGAUUAUUAUGGAGUCGUGACGUGAAUGCAUAACUUAUGUUAUGUCUUAUUUUUGCCGUUUGCUAAAGUAAUUGAGAUUGUGUAUCCAAAUGGACUAACCAAUGUAUAUAUUUUGUGAAAUACAAAACAACAUUAACAACUGAUUUCCUAUGAAUUAUAAAAACACAUUUUAAGAUAAAGUAAAUAAGUCUAUCUCCUCGACUCGAGCAUAAACGAAAAUUUUCAUGUUAGAAACAUAAAGAAAAAAACGUAUGGCGAGAUCACAAGUAUUUUGUUUUGAUUUAGGUUAUACUGACAAAGGAAUGUUGUGUAUUGUGUAGUGUCUUGAGAAUAGUUUACAAGUUAUUCAUAGGCAUAGAUGAUGAGGUUACAUGUUACAUCGUAUACAUACAUAUGGGUGAGACGUGUAAUGAUGAGUUUGCGCUGGUUAGGUACUGGUGCAUGGUUGGGACCCAAAUUUAAUGUGGUCUGUUUCUUAAUCAGUAUUACAUGCUUACUUUUAAGCUUAAUCAGUGGAUUAUUUCAAAACAAAUAUCUUCGAUUCAAUCAUACUUCCAAGGAUAAACAAAUUAGGAAUUAGUAUAAUAUUUACUAAUCAACACACUUAAACACUGUUUUAGAUAAUCAACAACCAUUCUCAUAGUGUCGAAUCCACUCGAAUUAAAUAUGGUACGACUUUAUGAAAAUAUCUCCUUAGUGGUGUUAUAACUCUCUUAAUUAGUGACAACUUAAGAGAUCAACAUCUUACUCAUUUACUAUUUCUUUUCUCUAAUUUGAGAAGUCAAGACUUGGAUACAAACGUAAUGAUUUGAUGAUUAGAUAAAGAAAUUAACACUCUGAAGAAGAGAGAGGGUUUAAAAGAGGGCAAUUUAAGAGAUAAGGACACGAGACUGAUCAAAAACGGUUCCGUUAAAGCCGGUAGAGAUUUAGGUGAGCGAUGCAAACGUGAAGGGAUAAGCCGGAAACGUAAUAUAACCGUUAACGCCAAACAAGUAAAAGUGAACGUUACCUAAAACAACUAAAUAUUCAUGCUUUCUUCAUACGUUCGUAUUGCAUAACACAUAUAUGUGUGUGUAUGUACGUUUUAUAUCAUAAAUCACGUGAACACAUAUAUCUUUUGAGAAUUGAAAAUAUAAUAUAUUGUUAAUGCAAACAAAGAAAAACAGAAGGGUAGCCCACCCACCACCAUGAAAAUGCUUUUUAACAAGUGACUAACGAUUUUAUGAUGAUAUUUUAAAAAUGCACUAUGCAAGCAAAAUCAUCACUCUAACAAGAACAUACCAAAUUUUUCGUUUUAUAAUGUAAAUAUUAGAGGAAUACAAAACUUAUAUAUAUAUAUAUAUAUAUAUAUUUUAAAAGGGAAAGUAGAAAACCCCAAUGAAAAAAGCUGGAAACAACAUACCAAACCAUAUCCCUGUUGAGCCCUCAAUUAUCUCAUCAAUUAAAAAAUAUAUAUAUUAACUUGAAAACAAAUAUAUAUGUAGGAGAUAAUUAACUACAAUGGUCCCAUGUUUUGCACAGUCUAAUAUGGAUCAAAGUUUCAUUUGGUCAAGUUCCUAUCAAUUGCUUUUUUCUCGAUUAGUCAAACACAUUGAGAAAACGAUUAGAACAAAUGAAAACAACACUCAACGAUCACUCUUUAGUCUUUAUGAUGUUCAUAUUUUUUUUCAUUAGUUUGUUUCACUUGCUAAAAAAGAUAGCGUUCAAACUUUAAGGCUACUCGUUUUUAGACAUCGGAGUUAUAAUCUAAUCAAAAAAAUUGGAAAGUAUUUUUCUUUUUUUGUUUUCUUCUAUUUGAAACCAAGUUAUGAAAACAACUACAAUAUCUUUGCACACCCAAAAAAAAAAACUACUAUAUUGGCUGCUAACAAAAAAAAGGCGACGACGACUAAUAAAAAUCCUGAUAACUUUGAAAAUAUAUUACUGUCAUAGAUUUGCUCUGGUGUUGUUUAUAAUCAAAAUUCUAUAUCAUCAUAAUUACUAGUUUCAAUUUUCUUUUUUGUUUUUUAUCUACUUUUAUCUCUAGGUCAUUCGCAGGAUUCACUGCCUUCAAAUAACUCGAUCAAUCUCUCUAGGCUAGCUAGCUUUGCUUGUAUUGGUCUUUAACUCGAGAAAAUCUCCAAAGCUACUACUCUCUCUAUACUCUUUUUCUAGCAUUUUUUUUUCUUAUUAACCCCAAUUAAUGUCCUACUAAUUUUGGUAAUUUCUUCCUUGUUUGGCAUUUCGGUAAAAUAUGUGUAUAAAUAUUUCUUCUUUUAUUUGUUUGCGUCACCUUAACGUUUUAAGAUUAGUUUCGGCUUCGGUCUUCUCGAGGUCUCCAGGCAAUGACAGGAAAUGAAUGAGGAAUAUUUGUUGUGUUUGUUCUUGUCGUCUAGGUAAAAUUUUCGUACUGUUCGUAUGAAUUAUAAAAAAAAUAAUUGAAAAAGAAUGGGUCCAAUCCUCAGCGUCAGCUUCCACUCAGAGCUACACGUCAAGAACAAACGAUCAUUCUAUCAUUUCCAAUCACUUACGUUUUAUUUUUUUUAUUUUUGUCUAUUCCAAUCACUUACGUUACGUCCUCUUUUCCACAUUUUUAUUCUUCUCUUAAUUUUUCAUUGUUUUCUAACUAAUUAUAUAAUAAACAUAAUGUUAGUUAUAUAAUAAGCCCACUAAUGCUAUUGUAUUAAUAAGUUUUCUACGAUUUUAUAUUUUAUAAUUGAAUAAAGAAGGGAACAUUUAUAAUAUUACAAAACUCCUCAAAAAAGCUUCCAAAGCAAACGAUGUUCUGACAAAGAUUCCAACCAAAUCCCACUCUCUCAUUAAUCUAUUGCGAUUUAAGUUAAAACUCUCGUUUUCAUUCUUAGUUUAUACAUGCAUGUUGAUUCUCUUAAUUAAAAAACCCAUACGUUUGGAUCCGAUGUGUAUAUAUCCCCUAUAUUAGUAAAAGAUAAGUAUAAAAAAUGCUUCCGAGUCGGGUUAAUUUCAAAAAGUUACCCGAAAUUUGUAACUGGAUCUUUUAAAGUUGGAUAGAUUAAUGGGUUUGGAUACAUACACCGGAUACUUUCCAAAUCUAAUUUUAGGAUUGUAUUAUUUCCAUAACUAAUUAUAGAAUUUACUAAUAUUUCUCUAACUAAUUAAAUACAAUCUAUUUAAAAAAUAUUAUUCUUCUUUCACUUUUAUUUGAUAUUAUUUUUAAUUUAUGAUAUUAUACUAUAUAGUAUAAAUAUUUAAUAAAAUUUAACUUUUUUUUGCAUAUGUUUCAAUUUGAAUUUUUCAAAACAGACAUAUAAUACUCAACUACACUCGGUUAAAAUCAUUAUAAAUAUGACCAAUAUUAAAACCAUUGUUACAUGAGCAUAUUUAAAAUUUCAAAUAGUUUUAAAAUAUUAUAAAUAAAAGGUUCAAAUACAUAAAACUUUUAGAAUUUAAAAUAUUGAAAUAUUUUUUUGAAGACAUAAAUGUAAUUUUCGAGACAUAAUGUUUAUUGAUAAAAUAUAUUAUAUAUCAAACUAUGAUACGGGUUGGAAUAUAAUGAUAAAGCGAGUUACGAAUAAAGUUUUUUUACAAAAUGAAUUCUGUUACGGGUUGGACUUUCAAAAAAUAUAUUGUAAUAUGUAAUUUUUACGUAUAUUCCUAUUUUUACUACAAAAAUGGUCAAAAUGAAUAAUUUAUCGACAAAUAUUAUUUCGUGCUGUUAAAUUUUCACCGUGUUUUUAAUUGUAUCAAAACUCAGUAUAUGAUUAUUUACUCGCUCUUUUCUUUAUUAUUUUAUUUAAACUUAUUAUACAAAUAUACGAUUUACCGUAAUCGACUGCACUCUAACAAAAUUAAAAUAUAACAUAUUCUAAUCCGUUAAAGUUAUAUAUAUGUAAUUAUUUCCCCCGCGCUAUAGCGCGGGUCCGAACCUAGUCCCAUAUUAAACUACAAGUAAUUAGGAGCAAUUUUAACUAUAACCGAAUAUUUCUAAGUAUAAAUUAAGAUACCGAAAGAAUUAUAUAUGUGGUCCGUAUCAAUUCCCUAAUCUGAGUUAAGUAAGUGUUCGCCUAUUAAUUUAUGUUUAUGUAUAAAAAUUCUAGAUGGAGCGCUUAACCAUAGUUAAACAAACACGUUUGAAGUGUUGAUAAUAUAGAAAAAUCACUUCGAAUAUGCGAGAGCUUCUAAUCAAAUUAAUAAUGGUCGUGACAUAAAUACGAUCAUUAUAAUACAUGUAUGUUUCGGAUAAAAAGAGUAGUUCAUAUUCCCUCGAAAUUUUUUUGGUGGAUUAAUUUUAAACAACGACAAAAUAUUUGGUUGCUGCUCGCAAAGAAAGAAGAGAAGAUAUGUUCUACAAUUAGCAUAUCCUCUACCUCUAUCAUGUAACAAAACUUAAUCUCGUGCAUGGAUUGAAACUACCUUUAGUAAUUUAUUGAUAGAAAAUGAUAAAGUAUGUGCUUCUUUUGAGAGAUGGAAGUACAAUUAUUAUAGGAGACAUGAAUAAUCUGAUUAUUUUCUUACAAGAAAGGGUAGUCCCACGUCUUAAUAAUUUGAUUUCAAUCUUUUUUGGAACAAGAUAAUUUUGACCCCCACAAGUACACAUAACAACAACACUACUUCCCAAAAUCCCUAUUUCCAUUUUUUUCAUACAUAUAAUGAUAAAUUGUGUAAUAUAACGUUGCUAUAAGAAAAUAGUUUCCUAUACACAAUUUUAAAGCUUCAGAAAAAUAAAAAUGAACUAUGAAUCUAAAGGAGAAGAUGACAAAAUAAUAAAGAAGAGAGUCAAAAAAAAAAAAAAAGCGAAGAAGAUAUAAAGCUAAUUAAGUUUAUGUUUGGGACUUCUCGCUUUUUUAUUAGUAAUUUUCUUUUAAUUUUACCAAAUAUAUGUCGUCAGUUUCUUAAUGCUUUGAGAUUUUUUAAUCAGCGUGAGAAAAAAAAAAAAAGCGUUAACUAGCAAAUUCCGUGAUCGAAAAAUCUUAACAUCUUUAUUAGUUUGGUUUGGUCCCAUCGAAGCUCACUUUAACAUCUUUAUUUACGAUUCUGAAAUAGGCUAAUUAAUAUAGAGGACAAUACUACUACUAGCUAGUUCUCUUUCUUAAAAAUACAAGUAUGAAAUUAUUUCUCUUCAUGUACAUAAAUAACGAAAUAAGCUAUGGGUUUGUUGCGUGCAUGGUAUAUAGUACAUAUCGUGCUCCUAUAAACCAGUAAGAGUUAUAUUCAAAUCAACUACUAAUUUAUAGUUUUAAGUAGGUUUUUGGUAGUUCAAAUGUAUUUUUCUUUCCCUAGCCCAUUUCCUUUAUAAAUUUUUAGUGUCAAUAUUUUUGUUUUUCGUUCAUAUUUAGCUAGCUCUUUUUGUUGUGCACCAUAUAUAGCUUGCUUUUUUUUCAUCUUUGAAUUGAGAUUUGCAAGACAAGCAAGUAAAUAUUAAAAGAAAAGAAAACUAAAUUAAUAAGAAUGAUUAGAAAUAAAUAAAGAAAUAUAGUUUUUAGCUUGAUUCAAAUUAAUUAGUUUCUUUCUCUUUGUUUCUUAUGAAAAUCAGUAGAAGUGAUCAUCAUUGUAUAAAACUGAUUUUAUUACUGGUUAGUUUGCUUAGAUCAUUCAAUUUUUAAAACUCAAGCCUUGUCUCAUAGAUAGAUAGUGGAUUUGGUACUAAAUGUCUAGAAGACAGAGAGAAAAAAUUGCAAGUGGUUCGUACGUACAAAAUGCUAUUAGUACUUUUUGAAAGUUAUAACUCAUCGGAGUCCAAUUAUAUAUGUUCUUUCAAUGAGUGUUCGUCUACUCAUCCUCCACUCCAAAAUCUUAGUUACUUCUUGUCUGCAACCAACCUUGCCAUUUUGGUCACCUUGAAAUUGUAGAUAACAACAAUAUGCAUUUAAAAAAAAAAUUAUUUUUGUGGAAAUGGUUAUAUAUUAACAAGUAUACAUUGUUGAUGACAAGUAAUAUGAUAUAGAUGAGGUUAAAAUUUAAUAUAAGAGAGUCAAGAUGGUUAAUAGUCAAUCUCCUUUGACGACCAAAGACUGGUGAGGGACUCUCUUGAUGUGAACAAAGGUAGAGUAGUCUUUGUUCAUAGGUUGCUUCCAUGGCUCUCCAUCCAUUUGCAUAAACGCAUCUUUCCAUUCUCCUCCUCUUAUCUCCAGCCGUAUCGCUGCCGCCUGUUUGUGAAAAAACCCAUUCGUUUGCGUUUUGUCAAAGGCAACAUAUAUAUAUAAAUCUAAUGACCUUCUCCUAACCAAAAAAAGGUCUAGAAAUUAACCCUCGUCUCAUUAUUCUCAUUAAAAACUAGCUGAUGUUAUAAAUGACAUUCCUAUAUGACAAAGAAAUUUGGAAAUAUAUAAGUUAAUAACACUCUUUUUUGUCUACCCCUACUUGUGAUGGGGUAGCUAUUAUAUUUUUAUAUGGUCUUAGCACUUGACUGGUCCGCUAAAGACUAGUCCAUAAUUAGCUAUGAUAAAGAAAAGACCUAAAUUAAAGUCUAGUUUUUUGCUGGCCACACAACGGUUAAUAGUAACAUAUGUUUGGUAGAUCCGAUCUGACCCUAAUUGUUUUUUAUGCUCUAAGAAAACCGGUAUGGUUAUGAUAUAUCAGAUUGUCAAUUAGCUGAAGAUAUGUUAACUGAAGUACCUGUGCAAUGUGUUUGGCAGAGAUGAGUUCAACCAUAACGAAGGAAGCAUGCCAUCCUUGCUUUAACCCAAAGAUCUCAACCAACCCAUCAUCGGCUUGUGCUUCCACAAAGCCUCUCUGUUACGUACAACUCAAGCAUGCGUUAAGAAGAAGCUAUUCCAAACAGUAAGAAGAGUUAAGUGAGAAGAAAUGGGCUUGUUUAACCUUUUCAAGAUAAUCUUGUUUGAGAUUUCCCCAAGGGUUUCUUCCACUUCCAUAGCUAUGUAGAUUCAAUGCAACAACUGCUCUUAUACUGGUCCCAAAAACCAACAAACACACAUAUUUACUUAGAUACCAAAAUCAAGAGGUUUGUUUAUCUCAUUUAUUGUGUUCUUGUUCCAAUUCUGUUGAUACCUUUUGGGAACUGGUACUUUCUCCCACUCGGAUGAGUCCAUCUUUUUUAUAUGCAAUGUCAUAAUGUUCUUGAGACCCCUAAACCCCAAAAAGUUUACAAACCGGAUUAGAUCACAAUUUGAGGUUAUAACAUAUGUUGUCUUGGUGUUAGUAUAAACCUUAAACCCGGGUCGUUCAUGCAGUGCGUGAGGAACCAACCCUGAGAGCAACCAUAUCCUGAAUAUAUAAUCUGCAACAACAUAUCGUUAGCUUUCUUUCUUGAUAAAAAGAAAUUGCUUCGAGAGAAUUAUCAAACUAUCAAGAGACUUUAGUAUGACCUUAUUGGCGAUAGGGCCAUUUGCAAGGUGAGGCUUUUCAUUGCGCAAAUGGUGAAAACCGUAAGCCACUUGAGCAUCCAUACCUAUACUAAAAUAAUUGUAGAAGACUCCUUCAUAACCAUUCGUCGUUGGAGGCUUCUCUCCCUCUAUCUCCAAAUCCUUCAACAUAAAGUUAUCACUAAAUUACAACCCACCAAAGACUAAUUUAUCAUCACAAAAAAAGUUUUAGUUUUGUGUAUUAAGUAAUGAUGAUCAUUGAUCAAUACCUGGUCAAUGUAACAAUCUUGUGUAGACUUUAAAGAAUAAGGAGGAUCCACAAUUUCACCAGAAGGCAUUGUAAUCAUGAUAUUCCAACUGCAUCAGUAUAUAACUUCAACAUCAGAAGAUCAAGUAGAGUGCUCAAGAACAAAUUGUUUAUAUUACAUUACAAUUUUACCUAUCUAGACGGCUUAUGGGAGCAAUACUUGCCCGAUGAAGUGUUCGUUUUAUCGCAGACUUCCACGCAAAUGGGAACGACCCUCCCUGUAAACACCAAAUGUUUUAAAUUAACCCUAAUUACAACACACAUAAGAUUUAUAAGGUAACAUGUUAAGACAAUAAGUUUGUUUUAUUCACACACCCAUCCGAAGCUUCUGGAGAGAUCAUUUCCGGUUCCGAGUGGCAUUAUAGAAACAGGAGGAACAGGUUGUCGGUUCUGCAAAUUGAGUUCACCGAGGCAACCUAGAACCCAACCAACGGUUCCAUCUCCACCUGCAACCUGUAACGAGUGAUCAAACCAGUGGCAACAAAAAAAAACAGAACAUAUUCCACAUUUUGGAUUAAUGAUGAAUCAAUCCAAAACAAAAAAGAAGUACCACAAUUCUCAUCUUUUCACGAAUCUCUUUAGCACAUUCGUCUCCACGAGAAGCUAAUGCCUCUAAGCAACCCAAUCCAUAUCUAAUAAACUCGUUAGGCUUCACUUCCGUUAAAUCAAACACCUGCACUUUUCAAAAUUAGUAUCAAAAAUCCAAAUACCUCCACAAAGAAUAAGAAUGUGGUACCUGUUCUUGGCUGAUAAGAUCCUGGAGACGUUCUUUGAUGAGAGGACCUUGACGACCACCACUUUUGGGAUUAACAAAGACCAUGAGAGGAACUUCCGGGGUUACAUCGUUGUUGUCUACCGAGGAGGAGGAGGAGGAGGACGACGACCCCGCUGAGGAGGAAUCGUCUUUACGGAGGAUACAAUCGCGGAUAGCGAGGCGGAGAUAUUUAGGAAGCAUGACUCUUUGACGAAGCUCUUCUUUAGAGACUCUUAUGCUCGCGAGAUUGACCAAUAAGGAGACUUUCAUCGCCCCAAACGAAUCGAGAGAAGAAUGUCGUGGAAUCAUCCUCGCCGUCAAUGAAUCUCCGAUCAACGGCGGUGAGUCCAUCUCUCUCUUUCUCUCGGUCUCCCAAAAAGAAAAAAGAUGGAAACUUUUUAUAAUCUUGUUGAACAAUCAAAAUAUGAAAUUUGAAUUACACAACAGAUAUUGAGAUUUCUAGAUUUUUUGUUGAAAGCUUGAAUCUUUGUUGUUGUCUUGUGAUAGUUAGGAGAUCUCUUUUUUAAUCAAAAGGAAGGAUAAAAAAUUCCUGAAAACCCAAAAUUUAGUUAGCGGAAGAAAGAAGGAAGAGAGAUUGAAACAGAGAUUUGCUCUGUUUGUUCUGUUUCGACCGUUGAGCUUAUUUUCAGGACAAAUAUAUAAAUACACCCUUUCCCUCCACAUUAACCACCAUAUUAUUGUCAAUAAUAUAUUUUUGUUAUUUAAAUGGGCCUAUUGGGCUUAGAAAGGCCUAUUUAAUAAAGCCUGGUAAGGUUUACUCUGCAAAUUCAUACAAAGAAAACGUUAAUGGCGGAUCUGACCUGAAAGUAGAGUAGACUCAACUCAACUGAAAAGGUUGAGACUUUUUAAGGUAAGCUCAUCUUCUCUCUCUUCAUUGUCUAUGUUUGUUAAAAGAAAUUCUCUAUUUAUCCAAAAGUUAGGUUCUUAGGGCUUUGCAAACUUGAAAUCUAGAGUUCUCCUCGGAAACUUGUAACUUGGAUCGCGUUGACUUUAUUUUUCUGGGAAUCCGAUUUGCGGAAACUUGAAUGCAAUUCAUCUUCUGGAAAUUUGAUUUCUUUUGUAGGUGAUCUCAUGCAUGAUCCUGUAUUUGAUAAGAACAACAAUGCAUAGUUAUUCAAUAUAUUAGUCUAGCUACUGUUUCAUGUGUGAUGUGAUUUCAUAUCUAAUAUCGUUUUCCAUGGGAGUUAAAACAAGAAACUAGACAAGUAUUUGUUGAUGGUUAGUUGUAAUUUUCAAGUUAAUCUGUCUGGUAGUAAAAAGUUGAUUUCUCGGCCUGAAUUUAUCUGUAGUUGUUUAUAAACUUGUGAAAAACCUGAGUCUUUUGAGUGAGUGAGUAACGCUGAUGUUAUCCGUGAUGAGAUUUUUAGAUGUCGGAAACAGAGUUCAAAGUAGUGCUAGAGACAUUCACAUACCCUGCUAAUUCAGCUCCUUUCAAGAGUUGUCAUGCCUCUACCAUUGUUGAGGUUAAGACCACCACAAAGUUUUCUUUCUUUGUCAUAGUUUUAGUGAUGGAUUGAGUCCCAAACUAAAGCUUUUUUUUUGUUUGUUUAUAUUUUGUGAAAAAGGUUGAUAAAGAUCAUUUCUUGGCUGCGUAUUUCGGAGGCAGCAGGGAAGGAGCACCUGAUGUUAAAAUCUGGUUGCAGCAUUUCAAGGUAGUUGAUAGUCUUCUCUUCUAUAUCAUUCAGAGUGUUGGAAUCAUAAUGAUGUGUGACGAUUGAUUGGUUUUCUCAGGAUGGUCAGUGGGAUACACCGGUUAUUGUUGAUGAACAGCCAGGAGUUCCAAUGUGGAACCCUGUCUUGUUCAAACUUCCAUCUCAACAGCUCUUAUUGUUCUACAAAAUAGGCCAGGAGGUUCAGAAGUAUGGUGUGCUCUCAAUUUAACGAAUAAACUCUUUUUCUUUUGUUUCAUUUCUUUGAUUUUUUUUAGUGUUUUGGUGAAAAGCUCAGAUGGAGUGGUUGCAUGAAACGAUCUAAUGAUAAAGGAAGAACCUGGACUGAAAGAGAACAGCUUCCUCCUGGGAUUCUCGGACCCAUUAAAAACAAGGUGCUUGUUGCAUUGCACAGACUCGGUUACUCGAUAAAGAUUAAAUCUUUUGUAUUGGUUAGAGAAUUAAAACUUCUUGUUUCUACUAUCUUUUCUUCUGCAGCCUAUUUUGUUUGAAGAUGGGACUCUCCUUUGCGGAUCAUCUGUUGAAAGUUGGAAUUCUUGGGGAGCGUGGAUGGAGGUUUUUCAAAACUAUAUGGUUUGAAUUCUAUAUUAGUAUAGUAUGAUACAAUGGUUUAACGUCGAAAUGUGUUGGUACAGGUCACUUCAGACGCUGGUAGAUCAUGGAGAAAGCAAGGGCCAAUAUACAUUCAAGGCAAGAGUCUUAGCGUGAUCCAACCAGUUCCAUACCAAACCGCAGCUGGGACAUUACGGGUUUUACUUAGAUCCUUCACUCACUGGCAUUGACAGAAUCUGUAUCUCAGAAUCUUUGGAUGGCGGUGAGAACUGGAGUUUUGCAGUACCAACGGUACUCCCAAACCCAAAUUCUGGUUUCUUGAAGUAAAAACAAAAUACGUUUCAUAAAUAGUCUUUGCUUCAGCGCGAUUUUAUUGAUGAAAAAUACCAAUAGGUAUCGAUGGAGUCAAGCUAAAAGAUGGUAGGCUAGUGCUUGCUUACAACACAGACUCAAGAGGAGUGCUCAAAGUAGGAGUUUCUUUAGAUGAUGGUGAUUCUUGGACCGAUGUUUUAACGUUGGAGGACUCUCCGGGAAUGGAGUUUUCGUAUCCAGCAGUUAUAGAAGCCGGAGAUGGGAAUGUCCACGUUACAUAUACAUAUAACAGGACACAGAUUAAGGUAUAAUAAUCAAGACAUUUAAAUUUGAUCAACAAAGACUUAAUUUGGUUUCUUUUGAUGUCUUUUUAUUCAAUCAAUAACAUUUGAGUGGUCUCAAUACGCAGCAUGUUGUGCUCAAGACUGCGACAGAUAUCUCGAUUCGAAGCCAUACCGACAUGGUGAAGCAUGCAUGAUGAGGAAGACACGUGGGUUUGGGUUUUGUAUGUACCAAAAACAUUAAAUUAAUCUAGCAAAUUUGGGUCGACUUUGUUUUUUUUUUUUUUUUUGGGUCGACUUUGUUUGUGAACCAUUGAUGUGGGAGUGUGACUUUCUUCUUACGGAAGAACAAAGAAUGUUCUCUUUCUUGACUUGUAAGUUAUGGUAUUGGAUUGAUCGGUUAUUUGAGUUUGUAAAAAAGUUGCUACUUACUAGUACUAGUUGAUGAAUAAUAUAAUUGAGGAGAUAUAUAAAAAAUGUAUCGUGGUCAUAUAAGUUAGAGAUUUACUUUUAUCAUUCAUACGUAUAGAUCGUGGAUUUGUUGGCCAAAAAAGAUUCUAUCAUUUAUGGAUUUAUGUAAGAAUUAUUUAAAUAAAUAAUUGUAGACUAAUGGUCCAAAAAUAAUAAUGAAACGAAAUACUUCGUUGUCGGUAUAGUUGAGUAGUAUUUAAAUCUGGUGCGACUUAACAAAAAAAAUAUAUGUGAUUGAUGGAUACCAUUUAUUUAAAAGAAAAAAAAAUCUGGAAAAUAAGUAACAAAACCAUUUCGAUUACUUAUUUCCAUAUUCGAAAAUAUCAUGUAAUUUUGCACCGUGUACAUUACGUAUGUAUUAGUGAAAAUAAUAAAUAAAAGAUCGAGGAACAUCAUUAGAAAAUGUGUUAUAAACAUCUUUAGAAUUGCAAACACCAUCAGAAGAACGUCAUGUUUACGAACGGUUAUGGCCAGUGGCGGAGGUAGAAUUUCCAUUCAUGAGGGUCAAAAUGUAAAAAAUAAAAUUUAUAAGGGUCAGUUAUAUAAUUUAGCAGGGGUCAGUUUGAUAAUUUUAAGCCAAAAUCAACUAAUUUUGAAGUUUCAUCAGGGUCAAUUGACCCUUGUACUUGGUCAUUGCCUCCGCCCCUGGUUACGGCUGCAUAUAUACGUUUAAUAUCAAUCACUAAAAAAAAUACAAAAUCAUAUCGAUGUGGUGGCAAUGCUAAUCAUAUUUACAAAUUGAAAAGCAUGUUUGGCUAUGGAAAAAGUCUAUACUGAUUUAUAAAUUACUCCUUCGUUUUCAACCAAUAAACAAACGAUUAAUAUUAUACUGCUAAGUGAUUAUACUAUAAAUCAUAAUUAGUAAAUCGAUUGACAAAAGCAGGUGAGAUUUUUAACAUUAUUUAAAAAGAUGUGGUGUUGCGUAAAAAUUAAAUCAUGAAACCGCCUAGCUAGCCGCAAAUAGAAUACGGAAAAUACCAUGGCUUAUGUCUUAAUACGAAUGUGUCUAGGUACAGUGCAAUUUAUAACGGCAAACCAUUUUGUUAUAUAUAUUUUUAUCACAACUUUUGUUUUCUUUUACUUCAUUACUAGACAUUAUACUAUAAUUAUGUGUGUGGACGAGAUAUAAGUGUGUAUAUUUUUAAAAUGCAUGUGCCGCGUUGGGAUACUUGCAGAUAAAUACGCAUACGUAUUCUUUCUUUUUUUUGUCGCCAUAUAAGACUUUUAUUGUUAUUUUACAAAAAAAAAAAAGGUACCGACUAAAAAAUACAGUAUAUAUAAAAAAAAAAGAAAUUGUAGAAAUAGUGUAAUGAUACUUUUGGAGAAAUUAAUAAAUGGAUGAAUCCAAUGUGUUACAUGCCCGGCGGGAAUUUCGGGAGUUGUAGUAGUCUUUUUUUGAUCGAAUGAUCGAAACAACAACAUUUUUUUAUUUUAUUUUAUUUUUUUGUUUACUGAUGAAUGCUAUUAUUGAGCCGAAGAUAAGCCCACAUGCAUUGAUGACCAAAAGAACAAAUCAAAGCUACUCCUCAUUUUCUUUUAUUUGUUUUUAUAUUCAAUCAAAAAGUUCAUUUACAUUCUUAUUAUAUAUGAUUGUAUGUUAGAUAUAUAUAUAUAUAUAUAUAUAUAUAUAUAUAUGGUUGAAUGUUCCAAAUACAAAUAUAUCAAAAUACAAAUAAAUUUCCAGACAUGUUCCAACUCGAUAGAAUGGGAAACAAGUGUGCAAGAUGGGACCAAUUAUUAUUUCUUAAAAAGUAUUUAUUAGAUCAUGUUCUAGUCAAUGUAUAAAUGCCGAUCUCUCAUUUCGUAUAGCUAGACAUUGCUCGAUAUAUAACUAAAUGUCUCAAACUGUAUUAGAAGACUUGUGAUGGUUGUCAAAAAAAAAAAAAAAAAAAAAAGACUUGUGAUGGGUUUGAUGUUGAUGAACCAUAAAAUCUUUGACAUAUACAUAAUUAAGAAAAAAGUGAAAACAGAAUAUGAAUUACAGUACAUAUUACAAACUUAAAAACAUAGUCACAAUCGGAUUUAUAAUCUAGAUAUCUUAUAUAUAAUUUAUGAGUUUUGGCUUUUGUCAUUUUAUUUUGCAAUUACAUUCGAGGCUGUUAUGUUCAAGAAAAUCUUUUAAUAGACAAAAACAUUAUUUUGUAUGGAUUUCUAUUCAAUUGAAAAUUAAAGAUGAAUAGAUUUUUUUGUGUGGUUGCGAUGGUCCCUUGGGGACUGAAUAAAUAAAUAAUCACCUAAUUUUUUGUUUUAUGUAAUGAAUGUGCCUAAAGAUAAGCAUCAAGGAAGGCCAUAUGAUCCAAAUCAAUCAAACACACACUUAGCAUUUAUUUCUUGUUUUGCGUUAUAUGAUCCAGCUUAUAUAUAUUAUGAAAGACACAACUGAUUAUAAAAAUGUAUGUUAAAUGCUCCUACAUCAAUGUAUAUGAAAUAAUGAAAAGUAUAGUUACUUUACAUGGGUCAUACCAUACGUAGUGGGAAAACCUAAAACAGGGUCAUAUGAAGCCAGUGAGUUUUUAUUAUGAUUCCUUCUUUUACUGAAACUUUAAUUUGUAAAUAAAUGAGUUAACGAAUGCGGAAAUAUUCAAAAUAUGGUGAUCACAGAAAAGGUGGAUGCUCUAUUUGUAACGCAUAUGAAAGAGGGAAACUAUAUAUUCAAAGUAGUAUGGUUUUGUGGUGGACAUAAGAUAAGUAAGACUUCUCCACUUUAUGAUGUGAAACAAUGUUGCCGCAUUUGAUUCCGAUUUUUUUUUUUAUGUUCAUAGUAUCGAACAUAAGGUUGUUACACGUUUAUAUAGAUUCAAACAAACUGUAUCAAAAUAAUAACUUCUAUAAAGUUGUUACACGUUUAUAUAGAUCAUACAGUUUGACCUCUGUCGAACCAAUCUUUAUAAAUUAUUCGUGAUAAAAAAAACAUACGUUGAAAAGACAUCAAGAAAUGGUUACAACUGUUGUGCAUUUGAACUUGAACAUGAGACAAAACAAGAUUCGUGUUGUAUACAAAAAUAUAUAUGAGAGAUAUGAAUAAAUACAUUGUUCAUACUUCAAAAGAAAAAAGGCACGAAUAAGUAAUGAUUGUGAAUAUGUAUGUGGAGGAAAGUGUCUGUGCUGCCACAUCACAAACAUUUGUAGACACAUUUGUGAAAACCAUGACUUAAGAACUCGAAACGAGCACGGUACAAUCACAUUCUCUCUUUAUUUUUAUUUUUAUUUUUUCUCGCAAAAGAGUCACAUUCUAAAAGGCUGGUGAAACUAAGUGUGUUUAGUGUUUGUUACGUAAAACCAUUAGAUAAAACUUAUCAAAUUCACAAGUGUUUUCUAGUGCAAAAAAAAAAGUAUUUAGAUCAAAGCAUGUACUAAUUCGUAUAGACAUUAUUUAUUUCUUUUAUAAGAUCUUCAUAUAGCCAAUGUAAACGAUACAUAGUUUUUUCAUAUGUAUAAUAUGUGAAAAAUUUAAAAUCCUGCGUCACUUCAUAACCAACGGAUUAUUAACGCAAACUACGUUUUAGUAGUGUAGUGGCGAACAGUAUAUAUGCAUACUUCAAUAAUUAAAUUUGUUCUAAAAGUCAAAUUUUUAAUUGUAGAGCACAUCUAAAUCUCUGCCUUAUUGAUUGAUCGAAGUAGGAUAAGGUCAAUGGAAGACACGUUAUUAUAAUGUGAAAGCCUUAAUUUCACCUAAAGGAAAGAAACCAAUAUUCAUCUUUUUUUGCUUGAUUUAAUUUCGUUUUUAUAAUUAUGUCUAUUUCAAUAUUGGCAUUAUAUGAGGAGUACCCUUUUCCCAUUGUCUAAGCCACAAGAAAAAUAAUGAAUAGGGAACAAAAAAAAAACCUAAUAGUUUUGACCGAAAUCAAAUUUAAUUUUGUCUUCAGCUCUAGCUUGUUAUAUCUUCGAAAUGGUACGAUACGCGUUAGUAUCCAACACCAAGUCUUAGCUACCAGAUCCAUAUGGACCAAACGAAUCGACCGUUGCAGUUGUUCAGCAUGUGUAAUAUCUUACAUAUUAUUUUCAUCAUCCAACCUUAGGAUGAUUGACUUGCUUAGAGUUUAUUCAUGUUAAUCAUUAAUGUAACAAUACUUAAGAAUUUCCAAAGUCAGGAUGAUUGACUUGCGUAAUAAAUUAAAAUAAUGAGAGAGAGAGAGAGAGAGAGAAGAGGUGGGUAUGAGAGUUGAAAAGAACACUUUUGUUUUGAGUGAUUGGUUUAGUUGUGUUGGGUAAAAGCUUGACCUAGAAGAUGACACGAUGGUGCUCAAAAUGUGUAAACAUACUAUUUCACAAGUGCAUGUGUAAGUAAAGCUAGUUAAAAUAAUAAUUACUCAUAAGACAAGAAAAAAUGAUUAUAAUAUCACAUUUUCCUUUCUCAUCAUUCCAUUCUUCCAUUCAUCUAUCAUUGAGACUUUGUGAGAAAGCGAGAAAGUUCUAAGUAAAAAAGCUUUCAUCUUUUUGAUUUUAAUCACAACUUUCUCAAUGCGCACCGACAACGUUUUUGACUUCAAAAUCAAAAGUAGAACUCGUGUGUGAAAAGCAAGAUUCUUUCUUUCUUUCUAGUGUAUAAUGUUUAUAUUACACACACAUGUAUAAUCUAGCUAGUUUGUAAUCAUAAUAUCCAGAUAUAUUGCUUCCGAAAGAAUCAUACACGUAUAAGUUUUACAACAUGUUUCUUAUCUAAUUAUAUAUUAUACGCAAAAAGACCCCAAAAUUUGAAGUUACACUCCAUUGAUAAACAUAAACAAUGCCACUUAAUUAACUUAACAUGUCUCAUGCUGUCAUGAAAUAAAAUAUAUGCACACGUAUGGAAAUCCCAUAAAAUUAGAAAACCUAUAUUUUCAAAGUUGUAGCGUGCAUAAAAGGUUUGUUUGACUUUUUAUUAUCUUCGAGAAAUGAAAUUGGAAACAAAAAGCCUAAAUUUUUUCACAUCAUCAUCGUAAUGAAACGAGAAAGAUAAAGUAAAACUUAUAAAUUGAUGCUAAUAAUUAGGAAAAAAAGGUGAUUGUCGAAGAAGCAAUAUCACGCGUUGGCCUUUUUCACCCGCACCACCCCAAUCUCAUCUUCACUCCUUUUCAUAACGGUUAUAAUACUUUAAAUUAAACACACUACUAGUUUACGAUAUAAAGAAUAUCACCAGAGUCAUUGCAUCUUGGUGUAGCUGCUGCCAAAUUUUCAUGCAAUAUUGUAUAUAUAUUAAAAGAUCACUACACUCAACAGUUACAAACUUAUAAUUCUGCUAAGUUCUACUAGUUUUUUUUAAUUUUUUUAUUGUUUUACAUUUUCAUAGUAAAAAGAUUGCAAAAUUGCGAGCUAAUAAUAAACAAAGAAAAAAAAAUGCGUAAAGGGAAAGGCAAAAGAGAGCAUGCGUUACCAAAAGGGGACAUCAUAAUUUUUGUGGCCUUUAAGGUAUUUUUAUUUAAUUAAUUAAUGAAAGUGUUUCUUGAUUAAUUUAUUAGCUUACCAAAAAGUAGAUUUAUUUUAUUUUUCUAGUACUAUUUAACAACGCCUACCAAAAAGUAAUUAUCCUUUUACUGUUAACAACUUAAUACCGUAAGAUCUACUAUUGCCAUCAAGUGUAACGAUGAAAUUCAUAUUAUAUUUGGACUAGUCUUUUUUUUUUCCUUUUUUUUUAAUCGACGUAUAGAGAAAGUAAUAGUUUUAACUUUUAAGCCUUUACUCGCACGAAAAUAAUGAGAGUCACGACAGCUUUUUAAUUUUAUUGAGAGAGCACACGAGAAAUCAUCGAUUGCAAGUUUCAUAGUUACUUUACUACCUCGCAUCCUAUCUAUCUAAGAUAAUCAUACAAAUUCAUAGGAUACAAAUUACGGGAACUCUUUUUUUUUAAAAGAUACAAUUGCAUUAAGCAUAUCUCUUUCUUUUGUCAUAUAUACAUUAGCUUCAAUGUGAUAAGCCUAAUGCGAAGAUAUGCAUGUAAUCACUAUAUCAUCUGGUCAUUGGCCACUUUGCAAAGAGUAAAAUUCUAAGGACGUUACGUUGUGUCAUUAACUCGUUGUUAUCAUUAUUAUUACAGGUUUAGUGAAACACUACUGUGUAGUAAUCUUGACAUAUACUUUAUACCGUCACAGUUCAUACAUCAUCGUCAAAACUUUAAUUAGAGUUGUUUUUCGUCAUACGGCAUCAUGAAGUGCUCGGCUCGGAGGCUAGGUUGCUAGAAGUGAAUGCAUUUUUGGAUAGAAAGAAAACCGAAUUAGUUACCAUAAAAUGAAAACGAGUUAUCUUGGCAAAUUAAAAAUUAAUAUGCUGAGUCUGUUAAUUACCUUAAUAACUCAGUUUUACAUACUUUUGAACACAAGUAAAGGUAGUCAACGCUUAGUUUAAAGUGUGAUAGAUAUGUCCAAGUUAAAAAAAAUUAUAUGACUAGCUCAAAGUAAACGUAUAAAUAUAAAUAUCAUGUCUAACUUUUAAAACGCGUAUUGACUUUGGUAAGACUUUAAUUUUGUACCUUUUACAUAACGACACUUUAUAUUUUUGUUUUAAUGUCCUUACAAAAUUAAUAUAAUUACUAGUUUCCUGUUGCAGAUCCUAAAUACAAAGUAUCUACGGUGCCCUCUUUGUUUGUUUUCUUGUAAUCGUCACGAUUCCAAACCAAAGACCAUACAUAUAUAAUUUUUUUCUAAACCCAUUAAAAACCAUAUCCUUGUACAUUUAAAACGUCUAGAUAUUAUAUUUACCUACUUCCACCUACUAAUUGUUCUUUUAAAGUGUGUAAACUAUAUGUGAUAUAUCACGUGAAUUGAAUUGCCAUGGACAUCUCAUGAACACAAGCAGUACCUGCUUUAGACUCAUGCAAAAAUAAAAAUAAAAAAGGAUUCCUUGUUAAUUUACUUUUGGAAAUUUUGUUUCUAAAAAGUAUAUAUCACGGAGAAAAUGUUGAAUUCUAAAAAAGUUGACAUUUAUCAAGAUUUAUUGGUUAGAAGUCUUAAAAAGCCAUGUUUUGAGCUAUGACUUUAACUUUUAUUUUCGGUUUGAUAAGACGACUUUGAAUUUUUUUCGUAUCUCAAAUUUGUUUGUUAAUGACUUUUUUGUUAUCACUCCGUUUCUCUAUUAGACACAAAUAGACAAAAAAAAAGGUUAAUAUAUAUAUAAUGGUGCAACGUCAAUGAAUCUAAAUAUUCUAAACUAAGCUAAUGGAAACUGAAAAGUUACUUUUUAAUUUACAUAAACGAAUUAAACCAUGAACUUUUUAUUUUAUUUUAAGAACUAUGCUAAUUAAGCUAGACUCAUAGUUACAUUUUGCAGACCAUUCUAGUGAAUAUUACUACUAAAGAAAAAUAUCUAGUAUUGCUUAUAAAUGAUGUACAACAAUGUUUUAAUUUUUUAUAAGCAUAAGCGAAAAUCUAAUAAUUUUGGUGGCUUAAAAAGAUAUAAAUGUGACAUUAAAAAGAAAAUCCAGUUUCACUUAAGAAAGUUAAUGGUCUAAUACUUUGUCAAGUAGGUAGUAGCUACUAGCUAUAGCUUGUACUCCAGACCAAACCUGUUCGUCUGAUGGCUCAAACUUCAGAAAAAAAAAAAACCUAGCCGCUAUAAAUGGAACGAAACCAAUAAGAAAAUUCAAUACUAUAAAUACUUCGACAAUUAUUAUUUAUUUUACAUUUAUUAUACCUGUUAAUUGAUUUUUGGCGUAUAUAUCAAAACAUACUCCCUUUUUUUUUAUUGUAUAGAUUUUUUUUCUUUUUUUUGGGCAUUGAUAUAUAUAUUAAAAAUUAGAAGUAAAGAGGCAGAGAUACAUAAAUACAUACACCUUUUAUAAUUAAAAAGCGAGCUAGAAAGAGAGAAGUAUCAUUCACUUCUCUUCCUUCUUCUUCUUCUUCUUCUUCUUCUUCUAACC